UACGUAGGGUGCGAGCGUUAAUCGGAAUUACUGGGCGUAAAGCGUGCGCAGGCGGUUCGUUGUGUCGGCGGUGAAAGCCCCGGGCUUAACCUGGGAAUGGCCGUCGAAACUGGCGAACUGGAGUGUGGCAGAGGGGGGUGGAAUUCCGCGUGUAGCAGUGAAAUGCGUAGAGAUCGGGAGGAAUACCAGAGGCGAAGGCGGCGAACUGGAUAGCAACUGACACUGAACUACGAAAGCGUGGGGAGCAAACAGG
rnacentral:rRNA from 1 species